rnacentral:tRNA from 1 species
GCCAAGAUAGCUCAGUUGGUAGAGCACACCCAUGGUAAGGGUGAGGUCCCGGGUUCAAACCCCGGUCUUGGCU